GAGCGCUGAAGUUGAUUAAAUAUCUCUUACAGCAACAAUACCUCUGGAUUUUCUGCAGCCACUGAGACAGCCAAGUCAGCCAUUAUAUGCUACAGUUCAGGCGCAACAACUUCCACAAGAGGACCUUGCAAACGACAUUCUGUCUGAUUCGCCUGACCUGGUGGAAGACAUGCUAAAGGGGUUCAGUUCCUUGACUAAGGAUGACUACUACAGUGAGGCCCUGGUAGCAAUGGCCAAGCAAUACAGAGCAAUGAAAGCAAAUCCAUCAAGGCUGGUGUCUGCAAUGCAUUGCUUCGGCAAAGCCCAUGUCAGCACAGCAGCCAAGAGAGCAACUGCACUACGACGAGCAGCUAGACGUCCUGACCCCAUGAUCCCGUCAGCCUACUGCAGUUGGUCGUAGAGGCGUCUGACUGCAGCAAGGUUGGAUCGAAGAGGCGUCUGACUGCUGGAUGUCCAAAAACCGGAACAGCAGUCCUGAGCACCCUUAAUGCUUAGACAAAAAGAGGAAAAGGCC